AUACGUAGGGGGCAAGCGUUGUCCGGAUUUACUGGGUGUAAAGCGUGCGCAGGCGGUUGUGUAAGUCAGAUGUGAAAUCCCCGGGCUCAACCUGGGAACCGCAUUUGAGACUGCACGGCUAGAGUGUGACAGAGGGGGGUAGAAUUCCACGUGUAGCAGUGAAAUGCGUAGAGAUGUGGAGGAAUACCGAUGGCGAAGGCAGCCCCCUGGGUUACUACUGACGCUCAUGCACGAAAGCGUGGGGAGC
rnacentral:rRNA from 1 species